rnacentral:lncRNA from 1 species
CAACAAUAAAUAUUUAUGGUACAAAGGGAGUACAAUGUAAAACCCAAGAAAACUCGAGUAAGAAGUUGAAUUAUGCUAAUCGACGAGACUGCAGGGCAGAAAGCAUUGUAGUACGGAAAUCAAAUCAAAGUUAAAAUCGGAAGCUAUAGGAAUGUGAUGGAUAGCGUGCGUGUAGAUUGGCGGAGCCCCUACCUAGGACUAGGAGUAGCUAGGAAUGUGUUGAGCCUCUUCCUCAUCCUGUUUCGCUUCUUCACAAGGAGAAAAUCAAGCUGCUCCCACGAUGAUGGCGACGACAAGGACAAGAUUACCUCGAAUUUUCUUCCCUGCAUGCAUGCACACACACAUAUCCAAUACAUUAUAAUCACACAUGUUGGUUGAUCACUAAGUGUUACUCCCUUCAUUCCUAAAUAUAAGUUUUUAUAAAGGUUUCACUAAUAAACUACAUACGAAUGUAUAUAGACAUACUUUAGAGUGUAGAUUCAUUCAUUUUGUUCUGUAUAUAGAUCACUAGUAAAAUCUUUUAAAAGACUUAUAUUUAGGAACGGAGGGAGUAUUUAGGAACGGAGGGAGUAGCUCGCAAGAAUAUAAUGCAUGCAGGGGUGAGCUCACGUGACGUACGGAUCAUUGCUCCUUUCCCCAAAUCUCAGGUUGCAGUUGUAGCGGUGCACCGAGGCCACACCUGGUCCAACGCCUUCCACUUCCACCCCACCCCCAUGAGGGGAGGAUCUCCGGCCGGGAGGUCUCGAUCUCUCGCACCGACUUCUCCAUGCACCCGGCACAGUCCGCCCCGUGACGUUCGGCGCACCGGGCCACCGCGCGCGCCGUGCCGUUCGCCCGGAGCCUCGCGCUCCCCGUGACGUUCCAUGGAGGGAGUACUCUUUUCCU